rnacentral:lncRNA from 1 species
GUGGGGGGGGAGAGGGAGCCCAGGGAUGGGGGCGGCAGGGGGUGCAGGUGGGGGAGGGCACUGGUGGUGGUGGGGGGUUGAGAGCCCAGGGCUGGGGUGGGGGGCAGCAAAAAACCUAGAGCCGGCCCUGUGUGCAGGCCGGGAGUUGGGCAAGCCCAGCCUGCGUCUCCCGUCUCUCCUUGUUACAGUUCUGCCAUCUGCACCGAACGCCAUGAACUUAGCCCCUGCCCUGCUGACAGACUCGCGUGGUUUGGCUGUUCCUNGCUGCUCCCUCGCGGCAAUGACAGUCCAGGAGGGAGGGGGAAAGCUGGCCAGGUGGCUGGGAGGAGAAGGGUGCCCCCUUUGUAGUCCAUGUGGAGGGCCAGGCCUGCUCUCGCCCAGCGAGCUGCACCGAGUAGCUGCAGCGCCUGUGCGGUCGGACAAAGGCGAUGAGGAUUUCUGCCAUGGGGAUAGCUGUGAGCCUUAGUGGUGCUGGUGCCCCCUGCCCUGGGGUCCCUGUGCCCCCCUGCCCUUGCCCUCCCUUUGGGUAAAAGUCCCAGCGUUGCUGGGAGCAGAGCUGCUGGCUGCCAGGGCAUUGCUGCUGGGCGACUCUAGGCUGCCGCGGUCAGCGACCUUUUUAGAGCACACGGCUCCUUUUUUCCCUGUCUCGGCCCUUCUGCCCCCUCCGGAGGGUUGUACCCUCAGCCCCAUAGCAGAGUCUCCUUAACAGCUGAGGCGUCACUGCCUAGAACCAAUUCCACGCUCGCUGGGGUCCGGGUUUCCCCGCAGCCCUCGGUCCUAGUGAGGUUUGCUGCAGCCUCUGAGCCUGGCUUUUUAUCAGCACUCGCUGGGCUCCUGCGGUGUAUUCCCGCCUGAGGUCAGGCCCCAGGGGCUGUGACAUCACACUCGUCGCCUUGCCAGCCCGCUGUGAUGUCACGCUCAGGCGUUAGGGUUACAGCAAUUCAAUAGAAAGAGUGAACUUUUGAAAGGGGAGCGUGUCCCUGCCCCGGUCCGGCCAGCAGCCAGGCUGCAGCUGGAGCGUUUACCAGGUGCUUUGUAUCUGGCCAGGCCUGGCCCGUCCAGUUGAACAGUGACGUUGUCCCUGUGUCUGAACCAUCCAGCUGCACUUGGAGGGGCCGGCACUGUGCAGCUGCACAACCGAUCUGACCAGCUGGCUGUCCGGCAAUCCCGUUGUCUCUGGCACGCUCAGCAGCUGGGGGCUCCCUGGGCACACAUGAAAUGUUGGGCAGGGAUCAGCCCAGCAGUUCACCAUGGGCCUGUCAUCAGAGCAUCCCACCGGCCGGUGGCAGCUUAAGCCACGUCAGCUAGAGGUGCAGUGCUGCUUUCUACCGGGGCGGGCACGGGGAGCACACGGGCACUGCAGUCCCGAGAGACCUAGGAGAAUAAGGGACAGGAUCUUCCAACCCAACUCAAUUCAGGCAGCAGCCAGUACUGAUGCUAAGGGGUGACGAACGGAAUUCCCAGCAAAGCAGUCCCUGCCGUCCGGCACCUAACCAUCUUGCUGAUUACAGGCAAUUGCCCCUGAGAGCAUCAGCGUUCACAGGCCAGCGCAGCCCCCCCAGUGCCCACCCCCGUCCAUCCCUCACUUAGCACUGUGCAUUAUCAGAGCCUCAGUAAAUCACCUGCAGCCAAGUUUACAGCCAAGCAAUAGGUAGAUGCUCAUCAGACAAAGGCCUUCGCAGGGGUCUUUGGUGCAGUCAUCAACUCGUCUCCCCUUUCCCCCGAGCCAGCACAGCUGUUGCAAUAAGUGCGUGUGUGUCGGGUCUGGGUUGCCAGCAGGGGCCCCUGGGCUGGAUCUGUGCUCCGCACCCAGGUGGCUUUUGUUCUUUCACUUGCGAAGAGGCAGCGUGACUAUGUUUCCUUUUGGCUUCUCAUGGUAAUGACGCGCCGUCAGGUGUAAUGUCCUUUGCGGUUGUGUUUUUACUAGACUAAUAAAACUAGCAUAGUAAAUAGGAAGCUGCUUUGA